CAGCAGUUAUCAAAGAAUAUUGGUGCUGGCGGGCCAAGUAUUGCCACACUAAAGAUGAGCGGGUUUGCGCAAGAGAUCGCCGCCUGAAGAAGACCCACAUCUUCCAAUGCGUGUGCACCAUGUACAAACACAACUGCGAAGAAGGACACGAUUUCACAGCGAACGGCGUUAGCGCCGAGAAUUGCUUGAAACCGCGUCGUUAUAUUCGUUGGCAUUAACUAAUGUUGGUCAACCAUG